AUGGCUGAUUUUGCUAAAAAGCCUGAAACUUGCCGAGAGGCAUCAUGUGUGACAUCAUCUGCAUCUCAAGAGAAUACUGUGCUGUUUAGGAGAGGCAAAUUGCAAGUGAAGCCAAAAAUCCCCAAAACAACAUCUACUAAAGAUGAUUUCUCAAGACCUUCGCAAUCUCACUUUGGGUAUAAUGAUCCAGCCACAGCUCUAAUCAUUAAACCAGCACAUCUGAUUAAAGAAGAAUCCAUUAAAGUGGAACAGAGGUCUGAUCAAGAAGAUUUCUCUGAUAUUCCAAAAGAGGAGUUCGACGGAGAGUCUUCUGUGAUUGCUUCGUCCUCACAACUUCAACAGCUUAUACCAAAAACAACAGCAUGCACUGAAUUGCAACCAGAGGAACUGAAAAUAGAGGAUGGGCAUGAGGAUGCUGCACACGUGGUGGUGUCUGAUAUAUCGGUGCCGGUUUCUGCUGAAAUGGAAGAUGGUGAUCAUAUGGCGAGUGGAAGUUCCAUCCAAAGCAGUCUUCACAUGGGUGCCGUCGCUACAGAAGAAGACCAGGAAAAGCAUUCACAUGAGGGUGUUUCACACAUACUGCUGACUGAUAUAUUGAUCCCCGUCUGUGAGGACAUGAAAGAUGAUCUGAGCAAGGAAAGGACAACAACUGGAAAGAGAAGCCCACUUGUGGCAGAAAGAUCACAGGUGAGAGAGGAUCCAGAUACUGUACACCUGUCAUGUGCAGUGUCACAAUCAUCAAACGAGGGACCAUCAGUAUCACCCAAGAGGAAAAGACAGACUCAGGCAAAAGGCAAGUUAUUGGUAGAGAUGACGUUUCCCAAAAGGAAGACUGGAGAUUCCCCUAAGAGUGACGAGCAAUCACAAACCAUUCCUUCGUCAGCCUUAAUGUCAGAGUCAACACAAUGUAGUGCUGAGACAUGUGCUGGCUCGCUGCCCAUUGGCUCAGAGGACCGUGAGGAGGCAUGUGGGAGUGUUUCUCACAUGGUGCUCUCUGAUAUUUUGGUGCCUGUAUUGGAUGAGACUGCAGAAUGCAGCCUUCACAAAGACUCUUUCCCAGCUGGUCUUAGAGAAGAUGCAGUUAGUGUAUGUUUCUGUAUUUUGACAGAUCAUCGGUCGCAUGAGUACUUUUUAUCCCAAUAAAAAAUUCAACAAAACUAUAAAUUUAUUAACUACCACAGGUCGAGAAGUCAAAAGAUAUUGAAAGACCAACAAAUACUGAAACAGAAGAGAUGGCUGUGAGUCAGUCUAUGGCAGUGGAAUGGAAAACAGCUGGCUGUAGGAGAGGUAAAAAUGUAUAAAAUAAUAAUAUAAAGCAAAAUAUAAAAAAUAAAAAAAAAAGUUAAAAUAGCA
ensembl:lncRNA